GAUGAAGAACGUAGCGAAAUGCGAUACGUAGUGUGAAUUGCAGAAUUCAGUGAAUCAUCGAAUCUUUGAACGCACAUUGCACCUCUCGGUAUUCCGGGAGGUAUGUCUGUUCGAGCGUCAUUUGUACCCUCAAGCUCUGCUUGGUGUUGGGUGUUUGUUCCGCCUCUGUGUGUGAACUCGCCUCAAAACAAUUGGCAGCCGGCGUACUUGUUUCGGAGCGCAGCACAUUUUGCGAUCCAGAUCAACGUACAGCGGCAUCCAAGAAGCCUUAUUUAACGCUCUUGACCUCGGAUCAGGUAGGGAUACCCGCUGAACUUAAGCAUAUCAAUAAGCGGAGGA
rnacentral:misc_RNA from 1 species